AAGACACAAGGAUGGGACCAGACUGCCCACCAGCUGAUAUAAAAGACAUAGGAACGGCUUGCUGUGCUUUCUGACCCUGAUUUCAGCAUUGUAGGAUGAGGAGCAAAUGCCUUGGAAGACACAGGAGUUGGAGGAUCAUCUGAAGAAUUAAAAUCAUUAUAUUUUUGUUCUUUUUUUCUUUCCCCCCAUUUUACUUCCAUCCCAUCAUUAUGACCUCAGUUUUCUCAGCUGUUUCUGUCCCCCAUGUGCUACCUAGGAGAUUCAGUUCCCACAUAGACUCCCAGUUUCUGUCCUUUUGGACACUCUCUGAGCCUUCUUCUAAGUCCCAGU
rnacentral:lncRNA from 1 species